GAACUGGAGAGUUUGAUCCUGGCUCAGAUUGAACGCUGGCGGUAGGCCUAACACAUGCAAGUCGAACGGUAACGGACCGCUGGGAUUCCUUCGGGAUGACCUUGGUGCCGACGAGUGGCGGACGGGUGAGUAACACGUAGGAAUCUGCCCAACAGAGGGGGAUAACCCGGAGAAAUCCGGGCUAAUACCGCAUACGCCCCAAGGGGGAAAGCGGGGGAUCUUCGGACCUCGUGCUGUUGGAGGAGCCUGCGUCGGAUUAGCUUGUUGGUGAGGUAACAGCUCACCAAGGCGACGAUCCGUAGCUGGUCUGAGAGGAUGAUCAGCCACACUGGGACUGAGACACGGCCCAGACUCCUACGGGAGGCAGCAGUGGGGAAUAUUGCACAAUGGGCGAAAGCCUGAUGCAGCCAUACCGCGUGUGUGAAGAAGGCCUUCGGGUUGUAAAGCACUUUCAGCAGGGAAGAAAGGUGCGGGGUUAAUAACCCCGUAAUUUGACGGUACCUGAAUAAGAAGCACCGGCUAACUCCGUGCCAGCAGCCGCGGUA
rnacentral:rRNA from 1 species